GUCCGUCUGCUUUACAGCGAACCGUCGGCGGGUGGCGCUGUGCAAACCCGGGGCUGCACUGAUACCGGAUGAUGGAGUUGACGCGGUAUUCGUCCCUCUUCUUACCAAACAUGUGGGCAUUCUUCACCUCUGGCGGGGCGCCACAGGACACUGAGGACAGAACCAGAGGUAAACGGCAGGCGGUAGAUGCAGGGCACGUCGUUCCACUGGCCUUUCUCGUGCCAGAUCAUCGCCACACAGUCUUCUCCAGAGCUGACGUAAUUAUCCGGCUGGUUCAGCCUCCAGUUCUCGUAUUGCUGAAGCAGAGGAGGAAGUGUACAGAUGCUUUUACUACAAGGACCGCAAACGGGACAAUUAUCAAAAGGGAGAGCGGACGAGAAAUCACCGAUGUGUGUUCAAGACGAUGAACAGUUGAGGUAACGGUAACAGUAACGUUACGUGUGUGUUAUCCCAGGAGUAACAUUAAAACCAGAUCAAACUCAUUUUAGUGUUGAACGUUAGUCCAUUGUAGUCCAUUGUGUCAGCUUCAUUUCUUCACCCAACGUAAUCAGCUCAUCACAUAGUCUGUUUAUUUAAACUGUAUGGUAUUGUUGUAUUAGCUUUUUGUAAAGACUUGCACUGAUAUGUUAACGUGUGUGAGGCACAUGCAAACCCACAGUUGCACACCCAAAGCUUCAUUUAAGUGUUUUUAUCCUGGAUGUCAUAGAACUUUCCAGAAGUUCAGA